rnacentral:rRNA from 1 species
AUUGAACGCUGGCGGCAGGCUUAACACAUGCAAGUCGAGAGAGCGGAGGACGGGUGAGUAAUGUCUGGGAAACUGCCUGAUGGAGGGGGAUAACUACUGGAAACGGUAGCUAAUACCGCAUACCAUCAGAUGUGCCCAGAUGGGCUUAGCUAGUAGGUGGGGUAAUGGCUAACCGAGGCGACAAUCCCUAGCUGGUCUAAGAGGAUGACCAGCCACACUGGAACUAAUACUCGGUCCAGACUCCUACAGGUGGCCGCAGUGUGGAUUUUGUCACAAUGGGCGAAAGCCUGAUGCAGCCAUGCCGCGAGUGUGAAGAAGGCCUUCUGGUUGUAAAGCACUUUCAGCUAGGAGGCGUUACUCGCAGAAGAAGCACCGGCUAACUCCGUGCCAGCAGCCGCAGUGAUUC